GGAGGAGUGGCAGAGUGGUUGAAUGCACCGGUCUUGAAAACCGACGUACGUUAACGCGUACCGUGGGUUCGAAUCCCACCUCCUCCG
rnacentral:tRNA from 1 species